UCAGCAGAUAUAAUUCCUGGAUACCUCAGGCAUCGAAAGUCUAGACCAUAUCGGUAAUGGUAGUACUGGGGAAGGGAGAAACACAGCUUUACAAAUCAAG